UUCAAGAGGAAGUGCCAGAAUCUUAUUAGGGAAAGAUUGUUGUGCUUUAACUCCCCGAGGAGGCCUGGCGAGAUUAUAAAGAAGACAGCAGCAUGCUCCUGCAGAAGGCUGAGAGGUGAAGGAAGCAGACAAGAUGGAAAAGUUAAUAGGAAGAAGGAAAAGUGUAAAAGAGGAAGCGUAACGUGUUGUAUAUUCACCAUGGUUUCUGAUGGCUUACGCUAGACAAGAGAAGCAUACUUCGGUUUUGGCCAAGGCAUUUAAGCAUGACACCCACCGAGCACAGCCCACAAACUCCUGCUGUGCCAACAGGCUAGUGUCUGUCCUAUUGAUACCACCUUGACUUCCAGUGCUGGAGCCUGCAUUUUCCUCCAGUGGAGAUAAUAGAGUUUGACUCUCACUGUGAAGAUACCAUAGGCUAUUAACUCACGUGCAGUGAAGAUAAGGUAACCAGCUGACUAUUUUUCAUGCAGGGAUUUGCUGCAGUCCCAAAAGAAGAAUGAAUAAUGUUUCCUAUUUUGACCACAGAGUGAUCUGAUCAUGCACGCUGCCAGUGGACAUUGCUACUGACUGGCUUCCAGGGAGAAAAAACAUCCGUCGUCCACUCUGUCCCAGCCACAAGGUCAUGUGGCAGCAGGGUGUCCUGCUGGUGGGCAGAGCAUGUGAUGUCUGUAUCGCUUGGGCAGGGCUGCACCGAGGCUCACCAGGAGGAACACUCCGACCGACAGUUGUGGCCCCUGGGAAUUGAGACAGCAAUUCAGCCUCACAGGACCUGACAGCACUGCCUCUAAACCACAGAUCCCCGAGGUCAGGGGAACCUUCAGACAUGCGUCCCGGGACUGUCUUAAUCCUUUGGCACCCCAGAACACAAUAAGGAUGCUUUAGCAGGGGGUUAUGCUACAUCUUAGAUACAGCUGUGUAGCGUGUACACAUUUCUUGACACAAAGAGUUUGCUAUAAAAUGACUGCUCUGUUCGAAAAUGUUGCUGGCAAAUUGUCGUGAACAUGGGAAAGAAACAAGAGUGUUGAGAGCUCUGGGUAUCAUUGAAAUAUUUAAAUAUUAUGUACGGUGACGCCUGUAAUUCAACAUUUGCUGUGGUAAACACAGCAGAAAUGACUGUAGCAUAAUGUUAUUCCAUAUUCUAAGCCAGAUUCUUGAGGUUUGUUUUAUUUAUAUCACAUGUGGCUGGGAGAAGUAAUUCUAGGAAGGCUCAUACCAUAUAUUUUCUUUUCAAGUUGCCAAAAUAUCUUAGAGAAAUCAAUGGCUGGGGACUCUUCUGUGUGGCUAAAGAUUUAUUUUUAACCUCUCGGUGUGCCAAAAUCAGGAACAAUUAUUAAUCUGUCCUGAAACUGCCAAUACAACCUGCUAGCAACAGAUGGUGUGAAUGAAAAGCCAGAAGUGGCCAUUUUUAAUAUUCAAUAGAUUAAAAAAACUUAGUUCUUUAAUCUUAUCUAACCUCUUGUGACCGAGGGUCUAAGGUAUUGACUUAAAGACAAU